GACGGAGGGUGCAAGCGUUGCUCGGACUCACUGGGCGUAAAGAGCACGUAGGCGGCUAGGUAAGUCUGAUGUGAAAGCCCACGACUCAAUCGUGGAAGUGCAUUGGAUACUGCUUAGCUAGAGUGCAGGAGGGGUAAGCGGAAUUCCAGGUGUAGAGGUGAAAUUCGUAGAUAUCUGGAGGAACAACGGUGGCGAAGGCGGCUUACUGGACUGAUACUGACGCUGAGGUGCGAAAGUGUGGGGAGCGAACAGG
rnacentral:rRNA from 1 species